rnacentral:rRNA from 1 species
AGUGCGGAAGAGAUAAGUGCUGAAAGCAUCUAAGCACGAAACUUGCCAAGAGAUGAGUUCUCCCAGAUUUAAAAUCUGUAAGGGUUGUUUAAGACUAAGACGUAGAUAGGUGCGGUGUGUAAGUGAUGUGAGUCAUUGAGCUAACGCAUACUAAUUGCCCGAGAGGCUUAACUAUACAACGCUCAAG